UGGGGAAUUUUGGGACAAUGGGGGGAAACCCCUGAUCCCAGCCAUCCCCGCGUGUGCGAUGAAGGCCUUCGGGUUGUAAGCACUUUUGGCAGGAAAGAAACGUCGCGGGUUAAUACCCCCGCNAAACUGACGGUACCUGCAGAAUAAGCACCGGCUAACUACGUGCCAGCAGCCGCGGUAAUACGUAGGGUGCAAGCGUUAAUCGGAAUUACUGGGCGUAAAGCGUGCGCAGGCGGUUCGGAAAGAAAGAUGUGAAAUCCCAGAGCUUAACUUUGGAACUGCAUUUUUAAACUACCGGGCUAGAGUGUGUCAGAGGGGAGGUGGAAUUCCGCGUGUAGCAGUGAAAUGCGUAGAUAUGCGGAGGAACACCGAUGGCGAAGGCAGCCUCCUGGGAUAACACUGACGCUCAUGCACGAAAGCGUGGGGAGCAAACAGGAUUAGAUACCCUGGUAGUCCACGCCCUAAACGAUGUCAACUCAGCCUGUUGGGGGCCUUCGGGCCUUGGUAGGCGCAGGCUAACGCGUGAAGUUGACCGCCUGGGGAGUACGGUCGGCAAGA
rnacentral:rRNA from 1 species